rnacentral:rRNA from 1 species
UGGGGGACCUUCGGGCCUCAUGCCAUCAGAUGUGCCCAGAUGGGAUUAGCUAGUAGGUGGGGUAACGGCUCACCUAGGCGACGAUCCCUAGCUGGUCUGAGAGGAUGACCAGCCACACUGGAACUGANACACGGUCCAGACUCCUACGGGAGGCAGCAGUGGGGAAUAUUGCACAAUGGGCGCAAGCCUGAUGCAGCCAUGCCGCGUGUAUGAAGAAGGCCUUCGGGUUGUAAAGUACUUUCAGCGGGGAGGAAGGCGAUAAGGUUAAUAACCUUGUCGAUUGACGUUACCCGCAGAAGAAGCACCGGCUAACUCCGUGCCAGCAGCCGCGGUAAUACGGAGGGUGCAAGCGUUAAUCGGAAUUACUGGGCGUAAAGCGCACGCAGGCGGUCUGUCAAGUCGGAUGUGAAAUCCCCGGGCUCAACCUGGGAACUGCAUUCG